GAUGAACGCUGGCGGCGUGCCUAAUACAUGCAAGUCGAGCGAACGGACGAGAAGCUUGCUUCUCUGAUGUUAGCGGCGGACGGGUGAGUAACACGUGGAUAACCUACCUAUAAGACUGGGAUAACUUCGGGAAACCGGAGCUAAUACCGGAUAAUAUUUUGAACCGCAUGGUUCAAAAGUGAAAGACGGUCUUGCUGUCACUUAUAGAUGGAUCCGCGCUGCAUUAGCUAGUUGGUAAGGUAACGGCUUACCAAGGCAACGAUGCAUAGCCGACCUGAGAGGGUGAUCGGCCACACUGGAACUGAGACACGGUCCAGACUCCUACGGGAGGCAGCAGUAGGGAAUCUUCCGCAAUGGGCGAAAGCCUGACGGAGCAACGCCGCGUGAGUGAUGAAGGUCUUCGGAUCGUAAAACUCUGUUAUUAGGGAAGAACAUAUGUGUAAGUAACUGUGCACAUCUUGACGGUACCUAAUCAGAAAGCCACGGCUAACUACGUGCCAGCAGCCGCGGUAAUACGUAGGUGGCAAGCGUUAUCCGGAAUUAUUGGGCGUAAAGCGCGCGUAGGCGGUUUUUUAAGUCUGAUGUGAAAGCCCACGGCUCAACCGUGGAGGGUCAUUGGAAACUGGAAAACUUGAGUGCAGAAGAGGAAAGUGGAAUUCCAUGUGUAGCGGUGAAAUGCGCAGAGAUAUGGAGGAACACCAGUGGCGAAGGCGACUUUCUGGUCUGUAACUGACGCUGAUGUGCGAAAGCGUGGGGAUCAAACAGGAUUAGAUACCCUGGUAGUCCACGCCGUAAACGAUGAGUGCUAAGUGUUAGGGGGUUUCCGCCCCUUAGUGCUGCAGCUAACGCAUUAAGCACUCCGCCUGGGGAGUACGACCGCAAGGUUGAAACUCAAAGGUAUUGACGGGGACCCGCACAAGCGGUGGAGCAUGUGGUUUAAUUCGAAGCAACGCGAAGAACCUUACCAAAUCUUGACAUCCUUUGACAACUCUAGAGAUAGAGCCUUCCCCUUCGGGGGACAAAGUGACAGGUGGUGCAUGGUUGUCGUCAGCUCGUGUCGUGAGAUGUUGGGUUAAGUCCCGCAACGAGCGCAACCCUUAAGCUUAGUUGCCAUCAUUAAGUUGGGCACUCUAAGUUGACUGCCGGUGACAAACCGGAGGAAGGUGGGGAUGACGUCAAAUCAUCAUGCCCCUUAUGAUUUGGGCUACACACGUGCUACAAUGGACAAUACAAAGGGCAGCGAAACCGCGAGGUCAAGCAAAUCCCAUAAAGUUGUUCUCAGUUCGGAUUGUAGUCUGCAACUCGACUACAUGAAGCUGGAAUCGCUAGUAAUCGUAGAUCAGCAUGCUACGGUGAAUACGUUCCCGGGUCU
rnacentral:rRNA from 1 species